GAUGAACGCUGGCGGCGUGCCUAAUACAUGCAAGUCGAGCGAACAGACGAGGAGCUUGCUCCUCUGACGUUAGCGGCGGACGGGUGAGUAACACGUGGAUAACCUACCUAUCAGACUGGGAUAACUUCGGGAAAACGGAGCUAAUACCGGAUAAUAUAUUGAACCGCAUGGUUCAAUAGUGGAAGACGGUUUUGCUGUCACUUAUAGAUGGAUCCGCGCCGCAUUAGCUAGUUGGUAAGGUAACGGCUUACCAAGGCAACGAUGCGUAGCCGACCUGAGAGGGUGAUCGGCCAGACUGGAACGGAGACACGGUACAGACUCCUACGGGAGGCAGCAGUAGGGAAUCUUCCGCAAUGGGCGAAAGCCUGACGGGGCAACGCGGCGUGGGUGAUGAAGGUCUUCGGAUCGUAAAACUCUGUUAUUAGGGAAGAACAAAUGUGUAAGUAACUAUGCACGUCUUGACGGUACCUAAUCAGAAAGCCACGGCUAACUACGUG
rnacentral:rRNA from 1 species